UACGCCGUGGCGGGAGAGCUCGAGAACCGUGUACACGGGGUCUCGGCGCCGUAGGAGCAAACCCUCCCCGGGAAUCUCUCAGGCAUCCGUACCGCUGCAGCGUG
rnacentral:ncRNA from 2 species